ensembl:lncRNA
UUCAGUUUUACAUUAAGUUUUCCUUGGAAAACGUCGUGUCAAUGUGCACCUGUUCUGUUAAAUGCUCUCCGCACCUGCAUAGUUCACGUAAUAUAUCAUCAGCUAAGAGAGGACGUCUGUUUUAAGAAAGAAAGACCGGUAUGGAACAAUGUGACGGAUUUGGACCAUCAGCGGACAUGCCUGGAGGAGGACAGUAGCUGUCUGCGAGCUGAGAUCCGACUUUAGACCUCUCACAUAAGUGAUCCAUCGUGCUCAACACAUGCUAGGCCUGGAUGUUCGCCAUAGUCUCCUGUGUACAACAUGCCCAUGCCAAGAUCCUGCUGCUGUACCUUUAGCCGUGACAAGUCGGCCUCUGCACCAGCUGUGCCCAUGGGGCGUCAUCAGUCGUAACAAGAGUCGGUGUGCCCGCUUCAGCGCAACCCCAUUGUGGUGUUAGAGGAUAAUAACACUCUGCUUCCUUUUGUCAGUGUGUUUUGCUGGAUGAUAAACAGAGGGGAUGAAGGACCGGCAGAGGAGCUCAGGCUCAAAGAGUUGCAGGCCAGCAAGGAGAAAGUUAAUAGCCAGGGCUUAGAAGUCAGCUAGCUAAAGUCCAAAUUACAGGAAAAGACAGAACAAUCUCAACAGCUGCAAGAUCAAAUUCUCAAGCAGCAGGAGGCUCUAAGUAGGGCAAGCCAAACUCUCAAAGACACCAGGAAAGCAGCUGGCAAUGAGUGGCAUCAGCAGGUGGAGAGACAGACAUGGUGGAACCACAGGCGGAGGGUGAACCAGCUGCAGGGGAAAGCUAUGAAGUCUACGAGGUGGGCAUGCGAUUCUGCAAGGGAUAAGAUUGAAGAAAAAUAAUUCCCAGGAAGCACAGGAAGAGAUGGAGGAGGAAACAUUACAGCAAACCUCUUGCAAGGAGUUCUCAAAGAAUAAAAAUAAACUUUAAGACGAUAAACAGAGAAACCCUGCAGAAAGAAUUGAGAUCGAGACUUUUUUGACCCUUCAUUGACUUCUUUUAGGUGUUUCAAUGAGAACUUGGGAAACACUAAAUUUGGCCUCACAGAAAAAGGUUCAGUCCAAAUCUUUUGAUACCAGUAGGUGCUCCAUGUGAAAGUAAUCUUGAAUGAUGAAUGAAGGCCCAGGCAGAAGUCUGAAUUUUAAGAGCAGAAAUCUCCAGCCCGAAGUCUUGCUAUGUCCAGAAAGUCAUCCGUAUGGAACACCCUGAAGAGGCAAUGGACCAGCUAACAGAAGAGCUCCAAGCAGCCCUGGACAAUCUGAAGAGCCAGACGGGGAAAAUACACCAGUGCGAGGAAAAAAUUGAGAGAUUAAGAGAGAAAAUGGACAGCCACCAAAAAUGGUGCUGGCAGGCUCCGUCUUUCAGAGAGGAGUAUGAGGCAUCAGCAUAUAGCAGCCCUAAAACUGGUGGUCCAGCUGCACAGGAAGAUCCCGGAAGGGCCAAGUUCACACCGAUCAGUCUUAGUACCAUGAUGAUGGCCACAGCACAACCACAUGGACCUAAAACAACUAGAGAGGCGCUUUCAAGCCAAGAGGUUUAAUAUCAUAAAAAAUCAG